rnacentral:lncRNA from 1 species
GCAAUAGCCUCGCUCCUCCCUGCCUGGGGGUCUGAUCCUGCCCCUGCCGGGGUGAUGCUGAGUCCCCCGAAUCCACCCCUCUCCCUCUCCCACAGGGUGCCGAUGGCCAGCCUGGUGCUAAAGGUGAAACUGGGGAUGCUGGAGCCAAGGGUGAUGCCGGUCCCCCCGGCCCUGCUGGCCCCACUGGUGCUCCUGGACCUGCUGUAAGUUCUCCCAACCCACCCCAGACCCCCUUGGGGUACAGUCCCAUGGCACAGCUCACUCCUCACCUCCUCCUCUUCCUCCUCUUCCUCCCCCACAGGGUGCUGUUGGUGCUCCUGGUCCCAAAGGUGCUCGCGGAAGCGCCGGACCCCCUGGUGCUACUGGUUUCCCUGGUGCUGCUGGACGAGUUGGACCCCCCGGCCCCUCUGUGAGUACCCCCAGGGGUGAGAGGUGUGGGGGCCGGGAGGGUGCCUGUGAUGGGGAAUACGGGAGGUGCUGGGCACCCAUCCAGGCUGCUCCAUGUGGCCUCCCUGUCCCAUCUGGCACCGGGAUACCCCUGGCCGCCCUUCAGCUGGCAG